rnacentral:rRNA from 1 species
GGGGGAUAGCCCGGCGAAAGCCGGAUUAAUACCGCAUACGAUCUGAGGAUGAAAGCGGGGGACCUUCGGGCCUCGCGCUAUAGGGUUGGCCGAUGGCUGAUUAGCUAGUUGGUGGGGUAAAGGCCUACCAAGGCGACGAUCAGUAGCUGGUCUGAGAGGACGACCAGCCACACUGGGACUGAGACACGGCCCAGACUCCUACGGGAGGCAGCAGUGGGGAAUUUUGGACAAUGGGCGAAAGCCUGAUCCAGCAAUGCCGCGUGUGUGAAGAAGGCCUUCGGGUUGUAAAGCACUUUUGUCCGGAAAGAAAUCCUUGGUUCUAAUAUAGCCGGGGGAUGACGGUACCGGAAGAAUAAGCACCGGCUAACUACGUGCCAGCAGCCGCGGUAAUACGUAGGGUGCAAGCGUUAAUCGGAAUUACUGGGCGUAAAGCGUGCGCAGGCGGUUUGCUAAGACCGAUGUGAAAUCCCCGGGCUCAACCUGGGAACUGCAUUGGUGACUGGCA